rnacentral:misc_RNA from 1 species
GUGAAUCAUCGAAUCUUUGAACGCAAAUUGCACUUUCUGGUAUUCCGGAAAGUAUGCCUGUUUGAGGGUCAGUUAAAUAAAAAUCGGAGUUGUUGCUGCAUUUCGUGGUGACGCGUCGGAAUUGAGUUGUCUUAUGUUCGGUUAAGUGACUUAAAAUUGUGCAUAAUUUUAGUAUGUAUUUAAAUUUCUUUCGUAAGUUUGAGAUAUACAAUAGUUUAUUAGGUUUGGUCAUCAU